AAACUGAAAGAACAGGAUUGCUG
rnacentral:miRNA from 1 species